rnacentral:rRNA from 1 species
UACGGGGGGGGCAAGCGUUGUUCGGAAUUACUGGGCGUAAAGGGCUUGUAGGUGGCCAACUAAGUCAGACGUGAAAUCCCUCAGCUUAACUGGGGAACUGCUUCUGAUACUGGAUGGCUUGAGUUUGGGAGAGGGAUGCGGAAUUCCAGGUGUAGCAGUGAAAUGCGUAGAGAUGUGGAGGAAUACCGAUGGCGAAGGCAGCCCCCUGGGCCAAUACUGACGCUCAUGCACGAAAGCGUGGGGAGCAAACAGG